ACUACCUAGCAUAAUGUUUUACCAGCUAUCUGGGCAUCCUGUAGUCUAUUCAUGUUGACAUAUAAAAUUAACCACUACGCUAGGUUAUGUGGGAAAAGUUGUCAAUAUUUCAUUCCUUUUUUAUGAUCUUGAGGAAGACAAUGUGGAGGGAGAACCUUCAGGUCUUCAGGGAACCACAGCUUCUCCCCACUCUCUGUUUCUCCCCAAAGUGGUGAUGGAGUGGACAGGUGGAUGGUGACAAUCUUUCUCCUUCCUCCUCUCCCUGUCCCUGCACUAACCCCAGCCUCCUCCCUCUGUCAUGGGAACCAACUUUCAUGGCUGCAGCUUUGGGUCCAACACUUUAGUCCAUUGCAUUUCUUCCAACACUUAAGGUCAACGUUUUAGGGUAGGAAUGAGUAUGCAGUGCACCUGCCUGCUCUUCUGUGAGCUUUGGAGUAGCCUGAAAGAAGUGGGAGCCUCUCUGCUGAGCACAUUUUCCAUGCGGGGCAGCAAAUUCUUCCUUAAAAGGGGAUCGGUGCAGCACAUCUCCACGUCUGCCACUGACUGGAGAUGGUCCCCAGGAAGCUGAGGUCAUGCAGAGGCUUGACCGCCAACCAGCUGUGUGUGAACACAUCAGAACACUUUGCAAUCUGUCUCUGGUCUAUCAAAUGGAGAGAACACUGAAUUUCAUUGAUUCUAAGACGCACCUUUUUCCCAUGUUAAUAUCUCUCUAGUCUGGUUAUGUCACCUAAUUGAUGGGAUCUGAUCACGUGUCAGAAUUUAAUUGUCAAUGUGUUUUCUUUCUCAGUGGUACACAGUACAAUGAUGCAUCAUGCAGUCAAUCUGGUCUUAGAUGUGUGACCUGCAGGAUCACUCCCAUUGGCCAACCAUUAUGAAGGUCUCAUGUGCCUCAUCCUUUCCCAAGUACGAUGGACUGGACAUGAUGUUGAUAUUUGCUCUACUGGGUGAUGGGUGGAGGUGAUGUCUCCAGAAACCCAGGACCCAGGAGCACCACCAGGCCUCUGUGAACAGAGUUCAGAUGCAACGGAGACAAAGCCCCUGGGUGAGAUGGUCCCAGGCCUCCUUCCAGAUCUGACAUUCUAGGGCCCAGGAAUGGUAUUUCUCUGAGGUCUUGAGGGAGAGAGGCUGGUGAGGCUGGCACUGCACACCCCAAGCCACACUAAUGCCCAGCCCCAAGCUCACUGCUCUGGGAAGUCUGCAGCAAGGGACACAUCCUCACAGCUGCUGGCCUCUGUGUGGCUCAUCAGGGCAUGAGGGAAAGACCCCGUAGAGCCCAGCCGGAGGCAUGAUUGUCUUAAGGCAGGAGGCUGCUGCAGAAAGAAUGGAAAUCUCGGAGACUCCAUGUCUAAGAAAUGUCAGCAGCGAGAAGUGUAUGUGCUGGCCGUGUCUGCACAGGGCAAAUGGCAGCAAGUGCUGCGGUCCUGAUACAGUCUUACAGGGAAUCUAAAGGAUGGGCCACAGGAGAAUGGGAAGCCCAGCUGGGCGCCCAGGGCCAGCUGUGUCCACAAGACUCACUGUUCUGAGCUCUGGGCAUCGAGUACAGUGCUGGAGCCACCACGGAGACCAAACCUGUGCAGAUGACCCAUCAGGGUCAUCUGGAGGCAUUUGCACCCAUCAGCCUUAACUGCUAGCUUGCCACUCUCAGAGCCUGUAGCUUUCACAUUUCCUAAGUAAAAAAUCACUUUUGUCAUAAAAGAAAUAAAUAUUCAUUGUAAAAGCAAAUAAUCCCGAGUACUGCCUUGCCACAUGUCACCUGGAGUUUAGAUGCUGAAAGGUGGCGGCAUGGACCUGCCUGUCACAUGCGGAGAUCCGUCAAGAUUCUGCCCACACCUGCUCUAUGAAGAGCUGAGCCAUGAGCCCAGCAUUCAAGGCUCCCUGUGUUCCCGGCCCAAGUGACAGAUAGGGGGACAGAAAUCAUUUCCUGCUGCUGUGACCCACUUCCCCUCCCUGAUGCUGCCUGAUUUAUUUUUGGGAAUUCCCCUCCCAUGUAGGACAGUUGCAGGAGGAGGGGAUUGCUGGUAACGUUUCCCUAGGGAAGCUGAGGGUGCAACCCUGCCUCCCGAUGUGGGUUUCCUGAGGGAUGAGCCCUGGCCUAAGUGACCCCUCACAUGCGCUUUCCUGGGACUUUGAGUUUUGAGCAAGUGAGGGAAAGAAGCGGGGGGGAUCCCUUGUCCCAGGGGUAGCAUCCUGACCGUCCAGUUCUGGGUGGGGGCUGUCUCUUGGUGGAUUCUGUGGUUCCUUCCACUGUUCCCCACCCUCAUCUACUCUGGGAGGCUGGAGACCCUCCUGAUGGAGCCUUUUCUCCUCACGCUUUUCAGGCGCAUCCUUGUUACUUAUGGCCGAGACCCUUGACUGCACUGCAGUUAGCCCAGCCCUCCAGGUGAGGACAACUUUGGAUUCCCAUGCUCCUGCUGCCAGAAGAUAUGAGACCCCUCCCAUGCCAGCUCUUAUAGGAUCCCUCCUCUGAAUCUCUGGAAUCUUCCCUCUGGGAGAAAACGAGGGGUCUCAGUGAGGUGACCUUUGGUCUUGCCUGGAAACAGCCACUCAGGGCAGCUGCAGGGGAGGACGGGAACCUGGGACCAAGACACGGGCCAUCUAAAGGAAGUCAGUGGUGGGAGGUGGGUCCAGGCUCAGAAGGGCAGAACCAGACCUGGGAAGCCAUCAAGAAAUGUGGCUGUCACUCUGCCCCUCUCCUCAGAGCCUCUCACGUGCUCCCUGGCCAGUUACUUCAUUCUUUUCUUCUUUUUGCCUCCCUGAUGACGUGGCUGAAAAUCGCAGCCCCCACGGUCCCCAGAUGUGCAUUUCUUUAGUUCAGUGCCUUAAAGAGAUUCUGAUUGGCCCCUAGGUCGGAGGACUCUACCCCUUCCAGUCUGCUGUGGACAGGAGUCAGGUCACAGAGGGCAGCUGCAGGCCACGCCUGGGAGUGUGAGGAGGCUGUUGUCUGAGAAGGAUGUAAGGGCUGGGCAUGUGUUCCCAAAGCCAUCCCUCAAGAGACCUGGGAUUGUGCCCCUUGCUGGGGAGGAUGAUGGGCCAGCGACGUUCAGAACUUCCACCCGAAAUGGCUGAACGAAUUAACUCACCCCCAUAUGGGGGAAAUCUACAAACUACUUUUUAAUGAAUGGCCUCUUCAGAAACUGCUCUAGGGGAAAAGAUGACUCUGGUUGUUGCAGCCAAAGUCUGUUUCCCUUUGUACAAAGACUGAUUUGUAACACUCACCAUAAGCCAUUCAUUUUACUUUCGGGGAAUGAACUCCAGAAGAAGUUCUCUUUCGCAAGCCUAUCAAAUAAUAGGUGAUUUUGAGCAAGAGCUUUCAUAAGCAGUGUGUCAGGCUAACCCACAGUAAUGUGAGACAUUUAGAAAAUAAUUUGAUUCUCUCUCUUACUUCUGCCGCCCCAGCGAAUGGCAUGACUGUGAAAAGUGUGACGGGGAUGAUGACUUCAGAGGCAAGGUUCCCUCUUCCCGGAGAGAAGCCACGCAGUCUGACUUCUCCCAAUCAGACCACAUUUUUUAUUUUCUUGCUCUCCUUUUAUACCGAGGCACUUUGUUUCUUCAUUUCAUUUUGAUUUUUGAGAUAUAAAUCAAAAUUCACAUACAACUCACACUUUAACAGUAUAAAAUUCAGUAUUUUUUAGUAUUCGAAAGGUAAUGCAACCCUCACCAAUAUCCAGUCCCAGAACAUUGUCACUGCGGAAAAGAAACCCUGUACCCAUUAGCAGUCCUUCCCCAACUGUCCUAAGGAAUUACUGAUUUAUUUUCUGUCUCUGUGGACUUGGCUGUUGUGGACAUUUCAUAAAUGGGACCAUAUACUAUGUGA